rnacentral:rRNA from 1 species
AGAACGAACGCUGGCGGCAGGCUUAACACAUGCAAGUCGAACGGUUGUAGCAAUACAGCAGUGGCAGACGGGUGAGUAACACGUGGGAACCUUCCUAGGGGUACGGAACAACUCAGGGAAACUUGAGCUAAUACCGUAUACGUCCGUGAGGAGAAAGAUUUAUCGCCCCUAGACGGGCCCGCGUAGGAUUAGGUAGUUGGUGAGGUAACGGCUCACCAAGCCUACGAUCCUUAGCUGAUCUGAGGGAUGAUCAGCCACACUGGGACUGAGACACGGCCCAGACUCCUACGGGAGGCAGCAGUGGGGAAUCUUGGACAAUGGGCGCAAGCCUGAUCCAGCCAUGCCGCGUGAGUGAAGAAGGCCUUCGGGUUGUAAAGCUCUUUUACCAGGGACGAUAAUGACGGUACCUGGAGAAUAAGCCCGGCAAACUUCGUGCCAGCAGCCGC